rnacentral:rRNA from 1 species
AGCGAACGCUGGCGGCAGGCCUAACACAUGCAAGUCGAACGAACCUUUCGGGGUUAGUGGCGGACGGGUGAGUAACACGUGGGAACGUUCCUUUAGGUUCGGAAUAACUCAGGGAAACUUGUGCUAAUACCGAAUGUGCCCUUCGGGGGAAAGAUUUAUCGCCUUUAGAGCGGCCCGCGUCUGAUUAGCUAGUUGGUUGAGGUAAUGGCUCACCAAGGCGACGAUCAGUAGCUGGUCUGAGAGGAUGAUCAGCCACAUUGGGACUGAGACACGGCCCAAAAUCCUACGGGAGGGAGCAGUAGGGAAUCUUGCGCAAUGGGCGAAAGCCUGACGCAGCCAUGCCGCGUGAAUGAUGAAGGUCUUAGGAUUGUAAAAUUCUUUCACCGGGGACGAUAAUGACGGUACCCGGAGAAGAAGCCCCGGCUAACUUCGUG